GUGCUGUUGAUGUGAUGAGCUCUUCAUGUCUCUUCUCUGACUAAACACCAGUGGAGAAAACAUUCACAACUCUGAUCUCAGCAU
rnacentral:snoRNA from 11 species